CCUCAACUUAGAAGCCAGUGGCUCAUGGAAAAAAGUCCUCCCAGCAAAUAAGAGACUGCGCCAUAGAUACUGCAGAAGGAACAGGGAAUUACCAGGGAUGGGCUUCUUCCUGGACCUUUUUGAAAUAACAAGAACUUCAAGAUGCAGCGGUUACAAAUGGGGAUGACUAUUGGAUCAGCAAUACUCCAGAGAGUGACUUCACCAGACUGGGUCCCUGGAUGAUGACAGAGUCCCCCUGCAGUACAAUAAAAAUGUAGUGUGAAUGAG